CGCCUCUUGAACCCUUAUAAGAGGUCCAGCCUGCCCAGUGACUCUGUUCAACGGCCGCGGUAUCCUAACCGUGCGAAGGUAGCGUAAUCACUUGUUCUUUAAAUGUGGACUAGUAUGAAUGGCAUCACGAAGGUUAUACUGUCUCCUUUUUCUAAUCAGUGAAACUAAUCUCCCCGUGAAGAAGCGAGGAUAAAACUAUAAGACGAGAAGACCCUAUGGAGCUUUAAACAUUUAUAACACUUGCUAAAUAAAAUACAAAUUUCAGAAUUAUUCACUCUUUAAGCAACUUGUCUAUAAGUUUUUGGUUGGGGUGACCGCGGAGCAUAAUAUAACCUCCAUGUUGAAAGAUCUAUUUCUAAGCUAAGAGCUACACCGCUAAGCAUCAACAUAUUGACAUCCAUUGACCCAAUAUAUUUGAACAACGAACCAAGUUACCCUAGGGAUAACAGCGCAAUCCACUUCAAGAGCUCCUAUCGACAAGUGGGUUUACGACCUCGAUGUUGGAUCAGGGUUUCCCAGUGGUGCAGCCGCUACUAAAGGUUCGUUUGUUCAACGAUUAAAACCCUACG
rnacentral:rRNA from 1 species